GACCAGUACUUAAAGGAACUGGCCCACGUUGUCUCCUUCUCUAUCAUAUCAAGUCCUCUGGUGAAGUUGGAUGGUCAUAGAGAUGGUGUCUGGGAAACCAAAACAUUCCCCUCUACUCCAUUUAUGCAUAAUGUGGGCAGUCUUGAAUUUAAAUCCAAGUGUGUUGGUUUUUGCGUAAUAUUUAGCUUAAGGUGGCAUUGUUAACUAUGAUCAGCGUGUAGGAACAACGAAGGCCUAUGAAGCACGCGGUGAGCUUCGAGUCUUUGAGCUUCGAGUGGGGAAGCCGGCCGUACUACAGAAAUGGGUCUGCAGACUGGCGCUGUGAUGGUGGGGAAGCCGGCCGUACUACAGAAAUGGGUCUGCAGACUGGCGCAGUGAUGGGUGGGGAAGCCGGCCGUACUACAGAAAUGGGUCUGCAGACUGGUGAUGGGUGGGGAAGGCGGCUGUACUACAGACAUGGUUCUGCAGACUGGCGCAGUGAAGGGUUGGAAAGGCAGCCGCGUUUCAAAAAAAGGUUCUGCAGACUGCUGGAGUGAUCGAUGGACGUGUUGCACUCUGACCUGGUGACAUGCUAGUGAUGCUGGAGGUUCUUCAUGGUGGAAAAGGUUCUGCCAUAUGGAUGAUUCUCUGCCCAGAUGGAUGUGUUGGACUCUGGACCUGGUGACCUACUAGUGAUCCUUCAGAUGUUCUCAUGGUGGAAUUAAUGUUUGUUAUUGGCGUACUGCAGAUGGACUAGAGUGGAACUUGGAUAAACGUGUUGCAAGGCACGGAUCUGGGGUUCUGGAAUUGACGCGUGUCCAGACUUUCAUGGUGACGAAUGGUGCUGAAGAUUAACUACAGAAUGACUGCCCAAUACACAGAUCUCAAGAUGAAGAUGGAACUGAAUAGCAUCUUGUGAUGCUGUAAACCCUUUGUGACUUGAGUAACAUUUUACAAUAAAAGUAGAAUUUAAGCUUUGAGUCUGUUCAGUUUGUCUGCGUUACAGUGAAGGUCGAUACUUUCUCAGCCUCAUUCAGGGCAGACUGGACCAUUCCCCAGAUGGCCCUUCAUUUAGGUUCAAUAAGCAGAGGACCCGCAUUAUCAGCAUGGAUCAGAUGAGCGUUAAUUCACUCCACAUUGGCUUGUACUUGACCGUUUAUAGCCCAAGUUCAGCCUGUUAGAUUUAAAACGACUAGAUGAAAUGUCUGCCUCUUUAAUGGUAGAAUCACUGUUGAAUCAGUCAACGUAGUGACUAUAUACCAUGGUAAGUUGCUAAUGUUAACUAUACCGUCUUAAUUAGAAUAUUGUUGUAAAGUUGAAUCAAUUUGAAGCAACUCAUUUUCUAGAUUUAUUACACAUUUGAAAUAUUUCAAACCUUCAUUAAUCUUGAUUAUGACCUGCAGGUCAGGAUAAUUCAGUCUCUGAAAAUUGGAACAUUGUAAUUGUUCAAUAUUGUAGACUAAAGAUGUCGCACUCAAAUCGGCUUCCCCAAUACCUGCACCUUUCGAUGAUCCGUCAGGUUCAGUAGCCAUCAUUCAUGGUAGAACGCUGACUUGACAAAAGUCAUGUCAAUAAGUGGGAGCUUCACGAGUGGACUGAGGCCAGACUCUGCAUUAGUCAUUGAAUUAAUACAGCGCUUUUAAGUCCCCUAAGCGCUUGCAGUGAAGGGGGGGGUCUCACUAACCACCAACCGUGUGUAGCACCCACUUGGGUGAUGCACGGCAGCCAAUCUGCGCCAGAACGCUCAACACACCAGAUUGAGGUGGAGUGAGGAAAUGAAUGAAUAGUGGCAUCGGGAUUGAUGUUAUGGCCAGAGGGAAAAUGACCACCUAAUGGCCAGCAACAGUCACCUCUUAAAGCAGCAACUGAUUGUUCAGUGAUUCAGCUGAGGCAUGGGUUACCAUUGGUAUGGCUGCUGGCAAGAGCCAUCACGCAUCACAGACGUAUCCAGGACAUGGGCUACUCAAACUCUCAUUCCUCGUGUCAAUUCACAACUGAACCAGAGAAAGUCAGAAGUGUCUUACCGAGGCAAAGAGAACUGGUCUGACCCAAGUUUCAUUUGGAAUUCAGGGUCACAAAGGUUUGAGGAAGAAUGGCGUGGGAAAAAAAACAUGUUUCUUGAAGUCCAGUGUGAAGUUUACCUGGGGAGCUUUGUUAUCUUCUGAUGUUCCACUAUAUUUUAUCAAUCUGCCCACACUGCCAAUACCUGGUUAAAGUGUGUAUAGUAUUUAUUUGUGAUGGGUGAGUAAAGCACCAUAAUUGCGAUAGGCCUACAUUAUUAGGCCUAUACCAUGAUCAAUGUUAUUUAUUCUGAAUAAUUUGCAACGACAUCCCCAGAUUUUGCAACUGAAAUGUGGAUUGGCCUGAAGGAAUAAUAUACGAUCAGCUGGUUUUCACUAGACACCUGUCAGUUCAGCCGCGGCGCAAUUAAUGAAUAAAGAUCGUAUAACACGUAGGAAGGAUACAA